UGAGACUGCUGAUAUCAACACUUUCUCUUUGACUUGGUGCUGUAGUUUGUGUGUGCACCAGCUCCAUUCCAAUCACCCUGAAUUGGUUUUGGGUCAAAAGAAAGGACGACCCCUGCAAUUUCGGUUAUUCGCUCAAGAAUGUAUCGAGCAACCCACAAUUCAUCACCAGCAGAAAUACCAACAGCAGGGCCAACUUGAAAUUCCCACUGGCCAGGCAUAACUUCACCGUUGAUGCCACUAAUAUUGAUACCAGCAUACAAGCAUGCCUUGUAGUGGGAAUUCACGAUAUCCCUGCCAAAGGCCUUGUCAGCCCCAGCUCCACAGUAGUAGGGACCCUGGGGGCCGGGGAAGCCACCAACUGGCCAUCCAAUAGGCCAUUUAACAUCCUUUUGGAGAAGGGUGUACUCUUGCUCAAUCCCAUACCAAGGCUCCUCGGCAACAACGUCGGGGUGGCUAAAGAUCUUGGCUGCAUUGUGCCUCUUGUUGGUAGGAAUAGGCUCGCCGGCUGGGGUG
rnacentral:misc_RNA from 1 species